UGGGGAAUACUGCACAAUGGGCGCAAGCCUGAUGCAGCCAUGCCGCGUGUGUGAAGAAGGCCUUCGGGUUGUAAAGCACUUUCAGCGAGGAGGAAGGUGGUGAACUUAAUACGUUCAUCAAUUGACGUUACUCGCAGAAGAAGCACCGGCUAACUCCGUGCCAGCAGCCGCGGUAAUACGGAGGGUGCAAGCGUUAAUCGGAAUUACUGGGCGUAAAGCGCACGCAGGCGGUUUGUUAAGUCAGAUGUGAAAUCCCCGGGCUCAACCUGGGAACUGCAUUUGAAACUGGCAAGCUAGAGUCUCGUAGAGGGGGGCUAGAAUUCCAGGUGUAGCGGUGAAAUGCGUAGAGAUCUGGAGGAAUACCGGUGGCGAAGGCGGCCCCCUGGACGAAGACUGACGCUCAGG
rnacentral:rRNA from 1 species